AAGAGGAUGAUCACAAAAGCGACAUUUGUGGGUUCUGCUUUUACAAGAAAACCCUCGUAGUAUGAGCGCUUUAUCCGUCCUUCAGGGUUGCGGUUCACCAAAGUUCAUGUGACACACCCUGAACUCAAAUGCACUUUCAAUCUUGACAUUAUCGGAGUAAAGAAAAAUCCUAAUGGUCAGAUGUAUACCUCUCUUGGUGUGAUGACAAAGGGAACCAUCAUUGAGGUGAAUGUCAAUGAGUUGGGUCUGGUUACACCUGCUGGGAAAGUUGUAUGGGGAAAAUAUGCUC